AAGUCGUAACAAGGUUUCCGUAGGUGAACCUGCGGAAGGAUCAUUAAAGAGUUAGGGUCUCCAAGGCCCGACCUCCCAACCCUUUGUUUACUAAACCAAUGUUGCUUCGGCGGACCCGUCUUAAUUGACCGCCGGAGGACCGUCAAACGUCCUCUGGCCCGUGUUCGUCGAUAGCCCAUCUCAAACUCUUUUGAAUUAUGUAAUUUGACCUGAGUAAAGCACAAAAUUAAAGCAAAACUUUCAACAACGGAUCUCUUGGUUCUG
rnacentral:misc_RNA from 1 species